GAGAGGAGCGAGCGACUCCUGCGCAAGCGCAGAGUGAAGGGCCGGGAACAGUGGAGGGUGCGAGGAAGACAAUGGGGGAGGACCCUGAGGCGGCCUCUGUGAGCCGACAGGAACACGUGGUCGAUCAGAGAGAGACUCUAUUUAAAGUCAUUUCCGCAGUUAAUUGCUUCAUGCUGAUGUAGUUUCUGAAAACUUCACAAGCACACAAAAAUCCUAGAACAUGGUGUCUUUUAGGAGGUUCGUGAACGGAUGGGGAGGACCCUGAAAAGCACUGUGGAAUACAGGUUUCUAGUAACUUCAAAAUCACAUCAUUUGGACUGGCUUCUUUGGGAUGUCCGCUCUGCAUAUCUACUAAGGAAUUAAGAAAUAAUGGCUUCAGCAAGAAACAAGGCAGGAAAGUGCAGUGACAUGAGGACCAUACAGGGAAGGAGCUGUCCCCAAAGCACGAUGAGCCACUUGAGGCCAGGUACAGCCAUGGCGUGUAUCCCAGAGCACCUGUGAGAAUGUCUCACAGACAGUCCGUCUCUCCUGAAUAUGAAGGGAUGGGCACCAGCCGGAGCCACCAUCCGUGUGACUGGCCCGUGGCCGCCUCCAGCUCACACAGAACCUCUGCACGCAACGGAAAAAGGUCUCCCCUGGGUGAAUGGGGUGGGAAACGUGUGCCCCUCCAGGCGGCUGGUGAGCAGAGUGCUCCCCUCGGCAGGGUGUGACUUGUACAGCUCCACCACGGGCCCUGUAACAAGACAGGCUUCGACCCUGCCCUCUUGCAGCUCGUAUGUAUGAGGGGCAGCCCAAUAAAUAAAUAAGCAAA
ensembl:lncRNA LINC03015 long intergenic non-protein coding RNA 3015